CCAUAGAUAGAGGGAUGUGAAUGGUUGUUUGCUAUCUACCCAUACUGAAGAAUGACUCAACUCAACUCUAUAUUUUAAAAAAGGGAUAGGAAAAAAAAAUAACAGAAUCAACUGAGACACAAUGGGGAAGAGACUAAAGGAAAAAUACAAAAGUCAAAGAAAGUGAUGACAUGCAAAUGGACAUUGAAAGGAUGCAUUUUAAUGUGGAAUAAGAAAAGGAGGAUAUUAUGAGGAAGGAAGAUUGAUGGGUUCAAGUACUGAUACACUUAGUGAUGUCUGCUAAAGUACAGUCAACCCUUGAACAAUGCAGGGGUCAAGGGCGCCCACCUUACUUGCCAUCAAAAAUCCAGGUAUAAUGGAUAGUCAGUCCUCUGUAUUUGCAGCCUCCGCAUCCACUGAUUCAAACAACUGCAGAUCGUGUACUACUGCAGUGUUUACUGCUAAAAAAAAUCCCAAUUUAGUGGACCCAUGCAGUUCAAACUCAUGUAUUUCAAGGGUUAACUGUACUUUAAAACUUCUGCUUUAUGAAUGCUUUAUAAAAAAUAAUAUCAGUAGUUCACUUUUAUAAAGUAGCAGCCACUGGUAGGCACUUAGCAUACAUUAUCUCAUUCAACACACACACACAUAGUCAGGUAUUAUUGUCACCAUAUUUCAAAUAAAAACUUGAGAACUGAAGAGGUCCCUAAUGUGUGAGGCUUACAUGGCUAAUUAAUGUAAUGUAGACCCGGCAUGAGGACCAGUCUAACUCCAGAUGCACAUACCCAAUGGGCUGCACUCACUUCCACACACGUGUCAGGAUUUGGUUCAGUUCUAGAAAAAUCCAAGUGGAUGGAACUGGUAACAGAUAUAAAGAAAUCUAGUCCCGAAAUUUUCUCCUCUGUUCUUUCUCCUUGUGGAUUUUUUGCUAGAUUGACAGUUUUAUAUUGUACAACUUCACCAGUAACAAUAACCUCGUUCUUCUUCAUAGUCUUAGUGAAUCUAUAGAUUCAUAUCGUUGUUAUUGUAUGUAUGCAUAUUGCAGAAUCAGGUCUCUGCUAUGGGCAAAAUAAAAGUAAUUCUUACAUGAUGGGUCUUUUUUUUUUUUUAAGUCUCACACAUCAAAAUAUUAAAAAUCAAGCUUAAAUUUCCCACAUGGGGAAAAUGUAGAAAACAGGGAGACUGGGCUCAUAACCACAAAUACCUAUGCUUGAUAAACUAUUGCAUUCCAGAAGACUGAACUGCAUCAAGUUUUCUAAGCUGAAAUGCAUCACGUUUUCUUUUUUGCUUUUUAGGGCCUAACUUGCAGCAUAUGGAAGGUCCCAGCCGAGGGGUCGAAUCAGAACAAAAGCUGCUGGCUUAUACCACAGCCAUAGCCACACCAGAACUGAGCCUAGUCUGUGACCUAGACCACAGCUCAUAGCAACGCUGGAUCCUUAACCCAUUGAGCAAGGCCAGGGAUCAACCUGCAUCCUCACAGAUCAUAGUCAGGUUCAUUAACUGCUGAGCCACAAAGGGAACUCCCUGCAUCCUGUCUAAAAGCAUACAAAUAUUUUCACAGGGAAACUAAUUAUUUAAUUGCAGAAAGUUGUGAAGUUAAUGUUGCAUCACAGUGUACUUAUCUUAUGAAUUAUUUCAGUUUCUUCAAUAUUUUCACAGAAACAAGUCAGAAUGUGGAAGAACCUGUUUAUUGUGAUCAUAAAAUAAUCAUUCACCAAGUAUGUCUUGGGAGAGAUUUUUACAGAAAUCUUUGAAGAGCCCUUGAGAAAGAUGUAGAGCCACCAAGCAUCCAAGGAAACUUGUGCACCGACCUCUUUGUUCUAUUGAAAUGACACUGUGGCACUAUACACAUGGUAGGAAAGAAACAGCAAGUUAUUGUUCAAAGUUGAGAUUAAUUUCCUCCCACUGGCAAGAUGACAAACAAUCACUUACAUAUAAGAAUCUCUUAGGGAUAAUGUGUUUAAUUGGCAAAGUGCUUUAAGGGUAAUUACUUUGCAUUAAAGACUGCCUAUAAGAAUUUAAGACUAAAUCUACUAUGACUAGGGUAGGGCAUUUCCUUUUGAUCUACUUACAAUUAGAAGCAUUUAAUAAGCCAUUGUCUUUAUAUGAUUAAAUGGAAUUAAAGAUGAGUUAGAAGGUUUUAGAACCCAUAGAAGACCUAACUGACUUUUUCCCCUUUAUGUGCCAGAGUGGAGAAAUCUUUCUUGACUUCUUCUGGGGGUUGACUCUACUAAAUUGCUGUAUUUAUUCACACAGAAGAGGUUCAGGAAAUUAACCCAAAGCCUCAAUAGCCUUAUGUUUGGCCUGGAGUUGAUGUUCAUGGAUGGAUGGAUAGAUGAAAGAAUGGAAAGACCAGGAAUAGUCAGAGUCUAAAGACUGAAUGGGACCACUAUGGUAAAUCAGGAUAUUGGAGAAGAUUUCAGUUCUAAGCAGUUAGAUUAGUGGUUUUAACCCUGAUCAUGCAUUAACUAGCACCAGGAAAACAUUUAAGAUAAACACUUGGCUCAGGACCUCCCAUAGGCCAAUUAAAUCAAAAUCUUCACAUGUGAGUUAAAUAGUAGUGAUAGUACAGGUAUUUUUCAAUACUUUACUAGGUAGAGUUGUCAGGUUCUACACUUGAUCUUAGCCAAAAGGCCAAGAAGCAAUAGAGAUAUCAGGAUCUACAAACGAAAAGAUAGGAUGCCCAGUUCAAGGUGAAUUUUAGAUUUAAAAAAACAAGUAAUUUUUUAAUUUAAGUGUAUCCCAGGCAACAUUUGGGAUAUACUUACAACAAAAUUUUAUUUAUCGUUUUUCUGAAAUUUAAAUUUAGGCAUUCUAUUAUAUAUGGUAACCUUAGUUCUAAUGUACAGUAUUGAGAACAAGUGAGUUCUGUAAGUUAAGUGUGUGGGGCAUGACAACAAGAAAGGAUAAUAGCAGCAAAGUAGGAUGUCCAAACAUCUAGCAUUUGGCAACCAGGAGCAGGGACACAGAAGCAGUGCUCUCUCUGGAAAGACUAAAGGUUCAAAGUAAAUCCUCGGUUUCAAAGAAACUAGGGCAUCAGAUAAGAAGCCUAGGUGGAAACAAAUUAAGUUUAUGUGAACAAGACAAGGACCCAACUGUUUAGUACAAUAUACUAUGGGCUUUUCAUGGUCAAAACACUGUUGUAGAAGCAAAGACGGUGAGAACAGAAUUCGCAGAAAAUAAGAUCCUCCACUGUGGCACCAAAUCAUGGAUCCAGGAGACCUGGUGUUUUCCCUGCUAAAGAAUGAAUUCGUCUCAGAGCCUGGAGUGUGUAAUCUUAGCGAGUUCUGAAGUGACCUUAUUUCAGUAAUUGGAGGCCUUUUGGCUUGAGGGCUGGACAUUUCCUUAUGGCAGAAUCAGCAAAGAAUCCAGCAUCACAUCAACAACUCUUAGAAGUGUCUCUAUUGGCCAAUAUUCAUGUCAAAGCAACAGCCAGAUGAGAAGUGUUAAGAAGAUAAGCCUUGAGCAAGAUAAAUGACACUGUAAGAUUUUUCCUUUUGUGAACUGAAGAUGAAAAAAUGAAAGUAGAUUUUGACAUUAAUGGGACUACAAAAGGAAAAAAAAAAAAUUAGGAUUCUUGCUCCCCCUUAGAAAAAUCCAAAGGUAGUCUG
rnacentral:lncRNA from 1 species